UCAUUGCCGUGUUCUUCCAUCUCUCUUUUUUCGGAAGCCUUUUUCCAACGCUUUUUCUUCAGAUCUUCGUUUUUCUUCGUUGUUUUUGACGAUCUCUUUUACAUAUUCGUGUAGAUCGUUUUUCGAUCUACGUUUUGCAUAUGGAUUUGAUGUGUUUUGAUGAAACGUUCGUCACCGAUCGUUGCGGUUAUCAGAGUUUAAGAUCUAGAUUCGCUGUUUCAGAAGGAUGAGAUCUGUUGAUAACUAGUCUUCGUGGAGGAAGAUUACAGUGGAUCGGCAGGAAGAUAACCUACUUGUGGUCUACAUCUGACGGCUGUAAUCAAGGACGGUUAUAUUCAUCGGAUCAUCUUCUGAUCCAGCUUUGGAGAUGCGAAACUGAAGGAGAAAUGAACAGGAGAAUAUCAGGUUUUGAUCGAUCGGAAUUGAUAGCUGUUUUGAUAUCUAUUUGGAUGUGAUGCUGUACCUAUUAGUCGAAAGUUGAGACGAAAGAUAUAGGUGAGAGGUUAAACAUGUAAGAUCUGGUGGUAUUGUGUGUGUUGAGUGUCGGCCUUUGCCAUGUCAGGUGCGCUUGCAUGGCAGGUCAAAAGUGUUAAUGAAAUGGUUGUUUUUUGGUUUUUGGAAGGAGAUGGUACGGGGUUGCUCGGCUCUCCUUCCAUGUGUGCCCGUGUCUCUCUCUAUCUCUCUCUUUACUUUCUCUUUUCUCUCUCUUUCUACUACACACCAUAGCCGAUCUAGUAUCUCAAAAAACGCAUGAAUAUCGUCAGUCAACGCAUGAUGUAUUAUUGUAUUGCAUCUUCCACACCGCAGCAACUGUUAACAGCGAUUGAUUGAUGCUUCUAAAUAAAUCAAACACCGCAGCACUCUGGAGAUCUUACCAUGGAUUAAGGUACUAUUAACUAACCUCUCAAUUAUUUGCAUAUGAUUUUAACGCCAAAAUUUUAUUAACUCAUUUAUCAUAUUUCACGUAACAGUUAAGUUUCUUUAAACGUAUCCUUGAUAGAUAUUGAAUAUUCGUGUGUCGGUGCAAAAUAUUGAAUUAUAUAAAUUUGUUUAAGAAGGCGAUAAACAUGUUUCGCAAUUUUUACACCUGGUUAUUUGGAUCUUUAUUUAUUCGUUGCACAAACAUGUGUCGGUACUUCAACAAUAUUUUAUCAAUUUCCUAUUAUCAGAUGUGGUUCUAUGUAUUGUCAUGUGUAUUGUAAUGUAAUUAAUAUGUAAUAAUAAAGUGAGGGCCGACUGAAGGUAGAAUGGGAAGUUUUUGGAGACGAUGGUUUUUUUUUAUUCGGUGGAUGUUUGUAUGGUUUCGAUGUGAUGGGAUGAUGUUAUGAUUCAAUUUCAGGGUUGUACAAGUGCUAGGGUUGAUAGUUGAUUCCUCAUGUACGCUAUGGUAAUUCGCUCUGUUUUUGUCGUUCAUAAUAUUUUCGAUUUCAAUAUGUUUUUGAACUAUUUCAUUAGUUAUUUAUCGAAAUUACUAUAUCGAUUGUCUUUAAGGAGGCCUCUGUUUUUAGGCCGUGAAGAUUUGGGGUUUUACGUAUCCUGUGGAAGUUAGCUAGUUCGUUUAUUCCUAGUAAAUCAAGUGUUCAAUUACAUUCAUUUGUACAUGUGGAGAAUUUAAUGUUUAUUGCUUCUGGAGUUAUUUUGGUUAAGAAGCACUGCUUUUUGUGCCUUCCUAGUUUCUAUGUUGAUAUUUUGCAGGCAAUUUGUAACAUAAUUUGUCUAGGUUUAUUAUUAUUGCUGGAGCUGUGUUAAAUAAA